rnacentral:lncRNA from 1 species
CUUGAGACAUCUGCACUUAGUUCCAACUGUAGAUGAACACAAGAACGCAUCCUGUGUUAAAGGCUCCUUCAUAAGGUUCUAGUUCAAGUACAGUGCUGUUGUACAGUGUUUAGCCCAUAAUAAAUCUUCCCUGUGAGACUGCACUCCAUUAGAUCCAGAUCGGUCUCUUACAAAAGAGCUUGCCACUCUCUUGAGAAAACUAAUCUAAUUUUCGGAUCAAAAUAUAUUUAAUCUAUGAGUGAGUCUGGUAUGAAGGAAGUCAUUAGUCUUCUGUUCCCCAUUAUUCAAACACAUAUCCGACGUACAAAAUCUAAUGCAUUUCAAGUAGAUAUCCCUAAUUGAUGCUGGAAGCUUUAAACAUGAUCAGGAUCAGUUUUCUACUGUCACUCAAGCCUUUUAUCAUUAAGAUGUGUCUUCAUCACAUAAGAAUGUCAUCCUCACAAUCCUGGUAAUUGACAGCACCUGAAACCUCCCUUUCAUAGCUCUUUUUAGCAUGAGAUUUAUUUGAGCAAAUUAAGGCAAUCACCAUUUGAUUCCCACUUGGCACGCCAUAUUUUCCCCAGUGUCUUCAGACUUCACCCUCCCACAUUUAAACCUCUGAAACACUGUAAAGUUAAUUUAAUUUGUAUAAUCAGGGUGAUAAAAAUGUAUAAGGAAUAGACUGAACUCUUGAACUUGUUCUCUUUGCAGCGGACGGAGGCACAUUCAAUUCCACCGAAACUUUGCCACCUCAGCAAAACACUCCACGGAUCCUUGAUGAACAGAAUUUAAAGGAACAGCUUUCAUUAGAAAUAUUUUUGUCAAAUUAUAAUUUUGCUCAUAUUAAUGUACCCUUGCAGAAUAGAAGUAUGAACUUCUUUAAAAAAAAGUGGAAGUGUAUGUUUUCUUUGUUUUCAACCAUUUUAUUUGCUGUUUUUUUUUAUUCAAAUGAGCAUAAAUUGCAUAAUUUUAGUGUUCCAUGCUGACCCCAGUAUAGUGAGAGUAAUGCACUUGUAUUUGACACUCAUUUACACUAUUUAGAGAUGUAUUAUAUUUCUAAACUAUUUUAAACGGGAAAACAUUAUAUUAAAG